UACGUAGGCAGCGAGCGUUGUUCGGAGUUACUGGGCGUAAAGGGUGUGUAGGCGGUUCCUUAAGUUUGCUGUGAAAUCUCCCGGCUUAACCGGGAGGGUGCGGUGAAUACUGAGGGACUAGAGUACGGUAGAGGGAAGUGGAAUUUCCGGUGUAGCGGUGAAAUGCGUAGAUAUCGGAAGGAACAUCAGUGGCGAAAGCGACUUCCUGGACCAGUACCGACGUAGGCACGAAAGCGUGGGGAGCAAACAGG
rnacentral:rRNA from 1 species